rnacentral:rRNA from 1 species
CAGUAGCCACGGGAAUACGGAGGGUGCAAGCGUUAAUCGGAAUUACUGGGCGUAAAGCGCACGCAGGCGGUCUGUCAAGUCAGAUGUGAAAUCCCCGGGCUUAACCUGGGAACUGCAUUCGAAACUGGCAGGCUAGAGUCUUGUAGAGGGGGGUAGAAUUCCAGGUGUAGCGGUGAAAUGCGUAGAGAUCUGGAGGAAUACCGAUGGCGAAGGCAGCCAUCUGGCCUAAUACUGACGCUGAGGUACGAAAGCAUGGGGAGCAAACAGGAUUAGAUACCCGCGUAGUCCCUGUCUCUUAUAA